rnacentral:lncRNA from 1 species
UCUCCCUGAGGUGAUCUUCCUUAGUGCAUUACCCUUCCCAAAGUUAUUCCUAGCUUUUAGUACUAUUGGGUGACUUCCCUCUUGGCAAUGAAUGUACUACACUUGAAAGUUUACACCUGUACUUCCUCUCAGUCUUCAUUCAUCACAUCUCCUAGUCACUACUUUAGGUAGAAUCUACUUUAGGUGCCCCAAAUAUCUGCAUUAAUCUAUUAUAUCUGCUUACUUAAAAUGUGUAUUUUAUAAAUAUGGUUCACCUGAGUUUUCACAUAGCCUAAAACUAGUCAUGAGAUAAUUUCUAAUAAAUUAUGUAAAGAAAUACUUCCUCAGACACUUGGAUUAAUAUUUGUAAUGAAAAAUUCAGGACCUCCUCGUGUGUGCCACUGCACUCAGCACAUAAAUUCUUUUGAUAGAAUAUUAGUGACGUGAAAAAAAAAUGCAGUACUCACAAUUUCAUAUGCACAACUAGACACAGGCAUGCACAUACACAUGAAACCCCAGUCUUAGGAAAAUAAUGGAAGCAGAAUACGCCAAAAUGUUGUUUUUUAAUAAUGUAGGGAGUAGUGCUAUGGUUGAUUUAAAAAAAAAUUUUAUUUUCUUUUUUAUUUGCAUUUUAUUUUAUUAUAUUUAUUUUAUUUUAUUUGCAUUUUUAUAUGCAAUUUUGAGCAUUUCUGAAAUGAGCAGUUUACUUUAAGAAACUUUAUUUUUAAAUUGCUUAGAGAAUUGGUUCCAAAUACUUCCAAAUUUCUUUCCAUCUUGACUUUUCUCUUUAUCUUCUCUGUCUUACUUUCUUCUACUCACAUUAU